rnacentral:rRNA from 1 species
AACGAACGCUGGCGGCAGGCCUAACACAUGCAAGUCGAGCGAGACCUCCGGGUCUAGCGGCGGACGGGGGAGUAACGCGGGGGAACGUGCCCUUUUCUACGGAAUAGCAUCGGGAAACUGAGCGUAAUACCGGAUACGCUCUUUGGGGGAAAGAUUUAUCGGAGGAGGAUCGGCCCGCGUUGGAUUAGGUAGUUGGUGGGGUAAUGGCCUACCAAGCCUACGAUCCAUAGCGGGUUUGAGAGGAUGAUCAGCCACACUGGGACUGAGACACGGCCCAGACUCCUACGGGAGGCAGCAGUGGGGAAUCUUAGACUAUGGGGGCGACCCUGAUCUAGCCAUGCCGCGUGAGUGAUGAAGGCCUUAGGGUUGUGCAGCUCUUUCAUCUGGGACGAUAAUGACGGUACCCGCAGAAGAAGCCCCGGCUAACUUCGUG